rnacentral:rRNA from 1 species
CAGUCGCCGCGGUAACACGAAGGGUGCAAGCGUUGCUCGGAAUCACUGGGCGUAAAGGGUGCGUAGGCGGGUUUCUAAGUCAGGGGUGAAAUCCUGGAGCUCAACUCCAGAACUGCCCUUGAUACUGGAAGUCUUGAGUAUGGGAGAGGUGAGUGGAACUGCGAGUGUAGAGGUGAAAUUCGUAGAUAUUCGCAAGAACACCAGUGGCGAAGGCGGCUCACUGGCCCAUAACUGACGCUGAGGCACGAAAGCGUGGGGAGCAAACAGGAUUAGAUACCCGCGUAGUCCCUGUCUCUUAUAC